CAGCAGCCGCGGUAAUACCGGCGGCCCGAGUGGCGGUCACUAUUAUUGGGCUUAAAGCGUCCGUAGCCGGGUUGGGAAGUCCUCCGGGAAAUCUGGCCGCUUAACGGUCAGAAUGCCGGAGGAUACUCCCAGCCUAGGGAGCGGGAGAGGCCGAGGGGAUUCCCGGAGUAGGGGUGAAAUCCUAUAAUCCCGGGAGGACCACCUGUGGCGAAGGCGCUCGGCUGGAACGCGUCCGACGGUGAGGGACGAAGGCCAGGGGAGCAAACCGGAUUAGAUACCCGGGUAGUCCUGGCUGUAAACGAUGCGGACUUUGUGUCGGACAAGCUAUGAGCUUGUCCGGUGCCGGAGGGAAACCGUUAAGUCCGCCGCCUGGGGAGUAAGGCCGCAAGGCUGAAACUUAAAGGAAUUGGCGGG
rnacentral:rRNA from 1 species